rnacentral:rRNA from 1 species
UGGGGAAUAUUGCACAAUGGGCGCAAGCCUGAUGCAGCCAUGCCGCGUGUGUGAAGAAGGCCUUCGGGUUGUAAAGCACUUUCAGCGAGGAGGAAGGGUUCAGUGUUAAUAGCACUGUUCAUUGACGUUACUCGCAGAAGAAGCACCGGCUAACUCCGUGCCAGCAGCCGCGGUAAUACGGAGGGUGCAAGCGUUAAUCGGAAUUACUGGGCGUAAAGCGCACGCAGGCGGUUUGUUAAGUCAGAUGUGAAAUCCCCGCGCUUAACGUGGGAACUGCAUUUGAAACUGCAAG